rnacentral:rRNA from 1 species
GCAGCCUACGGGGCGCAGCAGUGGGGAAUAUUGCACAAUGGGGGGAACCCUGAUGCAGCGACGCCGCGUGAGUGAAGAAGUAUUUCGGUAUGUAAAGCUCUGUCGGCAGGGAAGAAGAAAGACGGUACCUGACCAAGAAGCCCCGGCUAACUACGUGCCAGCAGCCGCGGUAAUACGUAGGGGGCAAGCGUUAUCCGGAUUUACUGGGUGUAAAGGGAGCGUAGACGGCGAUGCAAGUCUGAAGUGAAAGGCGGGGGCCCAACCCCCGGACUGCUUUGGAAACUGUAUAGCUGGAGUGCAGGAGG